ensembl:snRNA U4 U4 spliceosomal RNA
AGCUUUGCGCAGUGGCAGUAUCGUAGCCAAUGAGGUUAAUCCGAGGCGCGAUUAUUGCUAAUUGAAAACUUUUCCCAUUCCUUUCCCUUCUCCCUCCGAUCCCCCUUUCCUGUCCCUGUUCAGGGACCCUUUCUCAUGAGAAUCUCUUAUGUCUGGAGGUACAUCAGCUCAUGGUGAUAGGAAUAAUAGAAGUGGUUCCACCA